rnacentral:rRNA from 1 species
AUUGAACGCUGGCGGCAGGCUUAACACAUGCAAGUCGAGCGGGGGAAGGUAGCUUGCUACCGGACCUAGCGGCGGACGGGUGAGUAAUGCUUAGGAAUCUGCCUAUUAGUGGGGGACAACAUCUCGAAAGGGAUGCUAAUACCGCAUACGUCCUAUGGGAGAAAGCAGGGGAUCUUCGGACCUUGCGCUAAUAGAUGAGCCUAAGUCGGAUUAGCUAGUUGGUGGGGUAAAGGCCUACCAAGGCGACGAUCUGUAGCGGGUCUGAGAGGAUGAUCCGCCACACUGGGACUGAGACACGGCCCAGACUCCUACGGGAGGCAGCAGUGGGGAAUAUUGGACAAUGGGGGGAACCCUGAUCCAGCCAUGCCGCGUGUGUGAAGAAGGCCUUAUGGUUGUGAAGCACUUUAAGCGAGGAGGAGGCUACUUUAGUUAAUACCUAGAGAUAGUGGACGUUACUCGCAGAAUAAGCACCGGCUAACUCUGUGCCAGCCGCCGCUGUAA